CAGAUCCAUAUCCGAACGGCCGGCUUGAGCCGGCGGCUUGGCUCGUGUGCUGCCGUGCCUGAGGCACCCCGGCACGGUGCAGUCCUUCUGCUUUUUGGUCUCCUGACGGCAUGUUAGGAGUUAGGUGUUCCUCCUGCCGGCUCAGAUCGGGGAAGGCCGUGUUCCUGGAGGCAAAGAAGAGAAAAAAGCGUCAGUUGAUGUUGCAGAAGAUGGAGCCAUGGUCUGUGUUAGGUCCAUUUCACCUGGUGCUGCAGACGUGCUUUAAAUGUCUCUCGAUCUACAACUUUAAUAAGCCUCCUGGGCCUUUCUUUGGAAAUUUCAUCUGCGACUCUAAAUAAACCCGCUUGUAUCUCUGAUGCUUCCAUUUGGAUUAAAAAGCCAAAUGAUCUUGUUUUAAGUUUCGUACGGAGAACGUUUGAAGGUACAUGGAGAUGGAUAACCAACACUGGACCUGGGCUCCAACUUAGCACACAGAAAAAUAAACACAUUUUUAAGCUUUUUUUUUUCCUGCUUUCUUUAACAAAUUGUUCUGAGCCUGUUGUAGUGCUUAAAUUCAUUCCCGUGUUUACUGAAUAAAAAAGGAUUUCUGCAGAA
rnacentral:lncRNA from 1 species